AGUUGCAACGACAUGACAAGGAGGAUUCCUUGGGCAAGUGGAGGACAGAAGAAGAAAUGGCAGCUGAAGCGGCAAUUCUGAAGAAGUAUUUUCAGGAAAAUUAGAGGUAACAAAGUGUUUGAAAAACAUCUGGUGACAUAAGAAACUCCCCAGAAUGAAAGACCUCAUUCGCCAAUUCUGAAUGGCCCUGGAGCUGCGGCUGAACAAUUUUAUUAUGU
rnacentral:lncRNA from 1 species